UGGGGAAUAUUGCACAAUGGGCGCAAGCCUGAUGCAGCAACGCCGCGUGAACGAUGAAGGUCUUCGGAUCGUAAAGUUCUGUUGCAGGGGAAGAUAAUGACGGUACCCUGUGAGGAAGCCCCGGCUAACUACGUGCCAGCAGCCGCGGUAAUACGUAGGGGGCUAGCGUUAUCCGGAUUUACUGGGCGUAAAGGGUGCGUAGGUGGUCUUUCAAGUCGGUGGUUAAAGGCUACGGCUCAACCGUAGUUAGCCUCCGAAACUGGAAGACUUGAGUGCAGGAGAGGAAAGUGGAAUUCCCAGUGUAGCGGUGAAAGACGUAGAUAUUGGGAGGAACACCAGUAGCGAAGGCGGCUUUCUGGACUGCAACUGACACUGAGGCACGAACGCGUGGGUAGCAAACAGG
rnacentral:rRNA from 1 species